rnacentral:lncRNA from 1 species
GGCUGCCGGCCGAGAGAGAGGGAGAGAGAGAGAGCCGAGCAGCCACAGCACGGACGACCCUUUCCUCCUCCGUUUGCCGCCGGAAAGGAGCCGCCGGAUCUUCGCCGGGGCUGAGGUAAGGGUUUCUACCCUUCAUUUCUUUGUAUACCAAUUGAAAACAAGAAAGAAAGAAAGAAAGAAAGAAAGAAGAGAGGGAAGAAGGAGAAUGCCGACCGUCGUGGGCUCUUCUUCUUCUUCCGUCUGCAUGCCUCCUCCGUGGGAAGAAGGAGAGGGCCGGCUGUCGCGAGCUGGGAAGAAGGAGAGGGCCGGCUUGCGGGUGCCGCCGGCCUCGACUUGGCCUCUCCCGAGCUCGCCGACCUCUCUUCGCGGGAGAAGAAAGAAGAAGAAAGAAGGGGGGGAAAGAGAAGAAGCCGGAAGAAGAGGAGGAGGAGAAAGAAAAAGAAAGAAGAAAGAAAGGGGGGAAGGGAAAAAAAGAA